GGUUAAGCGAUUAAGCGUACACGGUGGAUGCCCUGGCAGUCAGAGGCGAUGAAGGGCGUGCUAAUCUGCGAUAAGCGCCGGUAAGGUGAUAUGAACCGUUAUAACCGGCGAUACCCGAAUGGGGAAACCCAGUGUGACUCGUCACACUAUCAUUAACUGAAUCCAUAGGUUAAUGAGGCGAACCGGGGGAACUGAAACAUCUAAGUACCCCGAGGAAAAGAAAUCAACCGAGAUUCCCCCAGUAGCGGCGAGCGAACGGGGAGGAGCCCAGAGCCUGAAUCAGCAUGUGUGUUAGUGGAAGCGUCGUAGGAAAGGCGCGCGAUACGAGGGUGACACGCCCCGUACAACAAAAGCG
rnacentral:rRNA from 1 species